rnacentral:tRNA from 2 species
UUGUGGUUAGCUCAGCGAGAUUAGAGCUUCAUCAAUGCUUGCCAUUGCUGCAUUGGCGGGGAAGCAGUCAGAAAUGGACUCAGCGCCGGUUCGAAUCCGGCACCACAACCCA